rnacentral:rRNA from 1 species
ACGCACGUGUGAAACUUGAAGGAAUUGACGGAAGGGCACCACAAGAACGCGUGGAGCAUGUGGCUUAAUUUGACCCAACGCGGGAAAUCUUACCGGGUCCGGACACACUGAGGAUUGACAGGUAACAUCGAAUAUAUUACAAUCAUUUUAUUUAUUUAUUAUGUGCGUGUAUUUUCGUAUAAAUAUGCUAGUCCUUUCAUGAUUGUGUGAUAGGUGGUGCAUGGCCGUUCUUAGUUCGUGGAGUGAUCUGUCUGCUUAAUUGCGUUUCGCA